rnacentral:rRNA from 1 species
UACGUAGGGGGCAAAGCGUUGUCCGGAUUUAUUGGGCGUAAAGAGCUCGUAGGUGGUUCGGUAAGUCGGAUGUGAAAUCUCCAGGCUCAACCUGGAGGGUCAUUCGAUACUGCCGUGACUAGAGGUCGGUAGGGAGUGGGGAAUUCCUGGUGUAGCGGUGAAAUGCGCAGAUAUCAGGAGGAACACCGGUGGCGAAGGCGGAUCUCUGGGCCAUUACUGACGCUGAGGAGCGAAAGCGUGGGAAGCGAACAGG